CGCAGCACUAGCUCAGGUGAGGGCCCGCGCUCUCGUGGCUUAUGAAUGCAAAUUUAAGGAUAAUGGUUUAAUAUUAUCAUUUGGGAGCGUUUAAGUUUCGUCAGAGAUAAAUCAGAGACGAGUGUGGAUGGAGUGGGCUCGAUUUUGGUUAAUGGGUGAGUUUUGUCUUCAUUUCAUGUGCGGAUUUUCCCCCUGUCUCGCGCCGGAGGAAAGGAAUGGUGACGUCCCAGAGCAAAGCGCGACCGGGCUGCAGCGGCUCCUCCGGCGCCGCCAGGGAGGGCUCCCUCAUCCGCUGAGACCAACCCGGAAAAUAACUCUCGUAAUGAAAGAUUUUAAUGCAGCGAAUAAAGAGGCCA
rnacentral:misc_RNA from 1 species